rnacentral:lncRNA from 1 species
CAUUAGUUUAUCAAAAGAAUUUAUUAGAAAAUAUUACACACUACAUACAUAUUUAUUUAAGAGUAUAAUUUCAGUAGACAGCACUCCAACUUCAUAAUACAAACAAUAUCUCAUGGACCCUGGGGCAAUCACUGUGCUUCUGAAGCUACAUCUUUUGGAUGGAACAUUCCAGCAGUACACACUGUGGCCAUUUAAAGGAAGGUAAGAGAAAAAAAUGUGAUAAUUACCAAAACAAAUUUUAAAAAGCACAAAACUUUUGGAAUGUUAAUGGAUAACUACUAUUAGUCUCAAAAUUCUAGGCAUUUCUAUAAAACAUUGGUCAAUGUGACUAGUAAGUUAACGGGACCAAGGUUUCAAAGAUCAAUACUGAACCUUGAUAAAUAAUAAGAGGAAAUGUAACUCCACAAAAUGUUUCUGAUUAAGUUUGUGCCCAUGCAAAAUUAACAUAAAUUUCUUAACUCAAGAAUGAGGAAUAUUAAAGCAAUGUACUUGUUACUGUCACGGAAAUAAUUCAUGGGAGUGCUACUAAAGAUAUAUGAGACUUCAACUCUUGACCACAUCACUUUUUCUCCAAAACUUUAGAACUUGUUUGCAAAAGCUAAAUGGUAUAAAACACAUUUUAAAAUGUCACCCAAUUCUCAAAUGUCACUGAAAGAAAAUGCAGGAAAAGUAUGUAUUGUGUGAUUAAUCAGCUUAGGCUUAACUCAAAAUACUUUCAAUGUUCACAAAAUUGUUUCUAGAGUUCUAAUCUAAAACAACUAAGGAGGUGUGCCUUGAUAUUCUGAAACACUGUCUUAAUACUUUAUUAGAAGAAAUAUGCUUGAAAUUUCUUUACCAUAAUCUAAACGCAAACUUUAAAAAUAUAUACCAGUAGAAUACCAUAUUACAAAUGCCCAGAAAUGUAGAAUAAAGGUCAAAAACUGCUUGGAAAUAUUUUUAUGAUUACACUCAUAACAACAAAGCUUAUGAACUAGCACAAUCAUUAUGGGACCAACAUUUCAAAAUAUUUUGCCUAUCAAAGCUAGCACCAGGAAAAGUAUUAUGCACAUAAAAUUGAGAAACAGAUAAUCUUUACUUUAGAAAAGCACAGUUCUACAGAGUAUUGCUCUGGCUAAAUAGUUUAGCUAGUAAAAAGGUCAGUUUAUCUCACUGAGGCAUGUAUCUCCUUGGAUCUAUUAACUUAUCUGAAGAACUUUCCAGGUACUUGGUAUGUACUGAAAAUUCUUACUGGAAUCAGUUUAUCAUGGAGAAAACCUACUGUUCUUUCAAGAUGCCAGUUAAAAUAAUGGCACAAUAAACAUUUUAAACUUACCUUUUAUAAAAACUGAGAUAUUCUAGUAUUAAAAAGAGAAAAAAAAAAAAACCCAAAUCCCUAAUCCCUGAAAGGCUAACCAGGACUCCAUUAUUUAAAUUUCCCCUCUGUUUCUAAAACACAGGUUUUACUGUCUAGAAUUUUGCAACAUGGCUAAUGGCUACCACCUGGUCACCAAAUUAACACUUCAUUCAUUGUAAAGCAUUUGGGGAUUUUCAAGUGUGAAAAUAUUUCAUCAGUGAUUAGAUAAACAACAACUUUACGCCAGUGCCAUGAGUCUUGUAAUUCUUAGCCCCAAGGAAGGGAGGAUAACAGCCUAACAGCAAUUCUCGAAUUGGCACAAAUAAUUUAUCGUCUGCAACGGGUAGAAGAAGAUACUAUGAAAGAACAUAAUUUCUACAAAGUCAACACUUUUUUUUUUCUUUUUUUUGAGACGGAGAUUUGCUCCUGUUGCCCAGGCUGGAGUGCAAUGGCAUGGUCUCGGCUCACUGCAAUCCCCGCCUCCCGGGUUCAACUGAUUCUCCUGCCUCAGCCUCUCGCAUAGCUGGGAUUACAGGCGCCCACCACCACGCCUGGCUAAUUUUUGUAUUUUUAGUAGAGACGGGAUUUCACCAUGUUGGCCAGGCUGGUCUCGAACUCCUGACCUCAGGUGAUCCGCCACCUCGGCCUCCCAAAGUGCUGGGAUUACAGGCGUGAGCCAUCAUGCCCGGCCGAAAGUCAACAAUUUUUCCAAAUCUUUUUCCUCAAAGUCUUCAACAAAGACUUUGAACUGCCAAAGUUGUAAUCUAGUAAGUCAAACUGCUUAUCUCAAUUAGGGGUAAACAAAGGCACAAAAGAAAAACAAGCAGCAUAACCUUUAUUUGGUCAUACAAUAGGUGAAGAGUGUCUCAAUGUUUUGAA